GUCUACGGCCAUGCCACUCUGAACAUGCCCAAUCUCAUCUAAUCUUGGAAGCUAAGCAGGGUCAGCCUGGUUAGUACUUGGAUGGGAGACCAUCUAGGAAUAUCAGGUGCUGUAGGCA
rnacentral:rRNA from 1 species